CGGUAUAGCUCAGCUGGUAGAGCGACGCAUUCGUAAUGCGUAGGUCGUAGGUUCAAAUCCUAUUGCCG
rnacentral:tRNA from 1 species